rnacentral:rRNA from 1 species
GAUGAACGCUGGCGGCGUGCUUAACACAUGCAAGUCGAACGGAAAGGCUCCUGCUUGCAGGGGUACUCGAGUGGCGAACGGGUGAGUAACACGUGGGUGAUCUGCCCUGCACUUCGGGAUAAGCCUGGGAAACUGGGUCUAAUACCGGAUAGGACCACAUUUUGGAUGGUGUGGUGGAAAGUUUUUCGGUGUGGGAUGCGCUCGAGGCCUAUGAGCUUGUUGGUGGGGUAAUGGCCUACCAAGGCGUCGACGGGUAGCCGGCCUGAGAGGGUGUACGGCCACAUUGGGACUGAGAGACGGCGCAGACUCCUACGGGAGGCAGCAGUGGGGAAUAUUGCACAACGGGGGCAAGCCUGAUGCAGCGACGCCGCGUGGGUGAUGACGGCCUUCGGGGUGUAAACUCCUUUCGCUAGGGACGAAGCGCAAGUGACGGUACCUGGAGAAGAAGCAACGGCUAACUACGUG